CCAAAAUUGAACCCAGGAUUCGAGGUGUGGCAUCACCAGUGCCCAGUACAGGGGGACAGUCACUGUCCUGGUCCUGGUGACCACACUAUUCCCCAUACAG